GGGUUCGUAGCUCAGUUGGUUAGAGCGCGUCGUUGACAUCGACGAGGUCACAGGUUCGAUUCCUGUCGGACCCACCA
rnacentral:tRNA from 1 species